rnacentral:lncRNA from 1 species
GUUCACCACCACCGCACCGCGCACCGCAAGCAGCAGCGGCAAUAAAGAUGCGCCGUUUAUUACACCACCAAUAAUACCGUGUCAGUGCAGUUGCCUAUACCUGCCUGCUCCUCCUCUCCUCUCGUCUUGUGUUGCUGUCCCCCCCGGAGUGGAACUGGUGCCGCCAUGUCACGCGCGCGUGGACCGCCGGAUCAUACGGCUCCGGCCUCCGGGCACUAUAAUUAACAGUUGCUGUCUACUUCCGCCUCGAGCCC